GGGUGCUCUGGCUGUGACGUCUAUUGCCCCACUGAUCGGGGGAGUUGAUGCGACUGCCCUGGCUGGCUGGGUGGGGUCCCUUCCAUGUGCGUCCCUCAGUAACUGCACUCUUGCUCAGAGGACGACCACCGCUGAGAGGGCAGGACCGUUUCCUCGGUCAAGGGUACACAAGUAGCUGUGCUCCCCUGCUAGAACCUCCAAACAAGCUCUCAAAAUGAAAAAUACAAACAGAACACUGUCCAUCAGGAAGAAGGUAUAAAUAGUGUUGUGCUACUCAGUGAUU
rnacentral:snRNA from 1 species